rnacentral:tRNA from 1 species
UGCAUCGGCCGGGAAUCGAACCCGGGCCUCCCGCGUGGCAGGCGAGCAUUGUACCUUGAACCUCCGAUGC